rnacentral:misc_RNA from 1 species
AAAAAAAAAAAAAAAAAAGGGAAGUAAUGAUGGGGAAGGAAAAGAAUUAUGCAAGAGCAUUUCAAAAAGUGCAGUGUUUAAUUGAUUCCUAACGGAAGCUUCUUAAGGAUCUUCCUUGCUAAUACCUUGUUUUCCUUGUCACUGUACUGAACUCCACCAUUACCAUUAUCUAGACCCAGCCAUGGUCUGGAUUUGGGUCGGAAUUGAAAUCGGACUGGCGGUUUCUGUUCCAGUGUCAAAGGGAUUGGAAUCAGGUCGUUCCAGUCCUGGGUUUGAUUUUAAUCCUGGUUCAGUCCAGUUUUGAUCAAAUCUAAUGGUCAUUUAAAAAAAAAAAAA